CAUAUACUCCCUCCGUCCCAAAAUAAGUGACUCAAAAAUGACUCUACUUUGUACUAAAAUUAGUACAAAAUUGAGUCAUUUUUGAGUCACUUACUUCGGGACGGAGGAAGUAGGAA
rfam:Hordeum vulgare subsp. vulgare, WGS project CAJW01000000 data, contig: morex_contig_42253